GAUGAACGUUAGCGGCAGGCCUAAUACAUGCAAGUCGAACGGUGUCUUCGGACAUAGUGGCGCACGGGUGCGUAACACGUAUGCAACCUACCUUACAUUGGGGGAAAGCCUUUCGAAAGGGAGAUUAAUACCGCAUAAGACAGUAACUAGGCAUCUAGUAGCUGUUAAAGAUUUAUCGAUGUAAGCUGGGCAUGCGUCCAAUUAGCUAGUUGGUGAGGUAACGGCUCACCAAGGCAAUGAUUGGUAGGGGAACCGAGAGGUCAAUCCCCCACACUGGCACUGAGAUCCGGGCCAGACUCCUACGGGAGGCAGCAGUAGGGAAUAUUGGGCAAUGGACGCAAGUCUGACCCAGCCAUGCCGCGUGCAGGAUGAAGGCGUUAUGCGUUGUAAACUGCUUUUAUACAGGAAGAAACGACUCUUGCGAGAGGCAUUGACGGUACUGUAUGAAUAAGCACCGGCUAACUCCGUGCCAGCAGCCGCCGUAAAAC
rnacentral:rRNA from 1 species